rnacentral:rRNA from 1 species
UACACUCCUGCGGGAGGCAGCAGUGGGGAAUAUUGGACAAUGGGCGCAAGCCUGAUCCAGCCAUGCCGCGUGAGUGAUGAAGGCCCUAGGGUUGUAAAGCUCUUUCACCGGUGAAGAUAAUGACGGUAACCGGAGAAGAAGCCCCGGCUAACUUCGUGCCAGCAGCCGCGGUAAUACGAAGGGGGCUAGUGUUGUUCGGAUUUACUGGGCGUAAAGCGCACGUAGGCGGACUAUUAAGUCAGGGGUGAAAUCCCGGGGCUCAACCCCGGAACUGCCUUUGAUACUGGUAGUCUUGAGUUCGAGAGAGGUGAGUGGAAUUCCGAGUGUAGAGGUGAAAUUCGUAGAUAUUCGGAGGAACACCAGUGGCGAAGGCGGCUCACUGGCUCGAUACUGACGCUGAGGUGCGAAAGCGUGGGGAGCAAACAGGAUUAGAAACCCCUGUAGUCCCA